UACAGAGGGCUCAAGCGUUGUUCGGAUUCAUUGGGCGUAAAGGGUGUGUAGGUGGCGCCGUAAGUCGGGUGUGAAAUCUCGGGGCUUAACUCCGAAACUGCAUUCGAUACUGCGGUGCUUGAGGACUGGAGAGGAGACUGGAAUUCAUGGUGUAGCAGUGAAAUGCGUAGAGAUCAUGAGGAAGACCAGUGGCGAAGGCGGGUCUCUGGACAGUUCCUGACACUGAGACACGAAGGCCAGGGGAGCAAACGGG
rnacentral:rRNA from 1 species